UCAAAAGGGGGACUUUAUUUUUAUUACACUGGAGCCAGGCGCCAGUGCGCCAGUUCAGCUUUGAUACACAAUAAAUCAGCAAAGCUGUUACUCAGUUUGGAAACCAAGAUUGCAGUGGCACUAAAAACACAUUGAAAACAUUUACUUUCUUCCCUAUUUUUUUUUCCCUCUUUUGAUUUUGGUACAAAAAUGGUACAAACAACAAUACAAAAUAUUUGUGCUGUUGACGGUUACAAAAAAUGGUUUUUGAACUCGGUUAACGGACGCAAACUGCUUUUGCGCUUCAGCGUGAAUACAGCAGAACAGCAGAAGUCUUCCUCGAGAACAACCACAGUCAUGCGGGCUGCUACACAGCUUCUCCAUCGUUAAAGGAAACAUGCAAAAUCAUAAUUAAAAGAAAGUGCUCCAAUUAUACAUCUAUAUGUCAUCGUUGGUUUUUUCACCUAUUUGAUUUGUAGCUUCAAGCACUAACUACAUUAUGUACACAUCAUGGUGAGCAGUUGGGCAUGGGGUUUGUGUGUACUUGAGAUAACUUUGAUUUUUUCCCCAUGAAACUGAGUUAACUUUGCGUGGGAGACACCUACGUUGUCUAGCUGCUGUUUUAAACAUCAUGUUCAUCGUUACACAGCAUUCCCCCCAUUUUUUCACACUUACAAUGAAGAGCUUCAAAAGACAUCACAAAUAAAAGUCCCAUAUUUUACCUUAAUAUGUUUCUUGAGACUAAACAAAGUCACAAUCUUGGCAUAUUGUGUUGUACAGACCCUGCCUACCCUGCCCGCUACAGUUCUCCAACGCCUGGACGUUGACCCUAUGCAAAGUGGGUGCAGGUGACACAGCCACCUCCUACAGCCCACUUACUGCUGGAGGGUGAAUUCGGACCCGAGCGUCCCCAAAAGCCCAUCCACAGAGGCUCAGGUGCCUGCUGCAUGGAUGUGAGCUCCCCGCCACCCCCUUACAACCAUCAAUGGCAUCGCCUGGUCCAGCAAAAAAACAGGAAAAAAACAAACAAACAGGAAAAUGCAAAACUAUAAGCAUAACUAUGAGUAGCACGUAGGACACCGAUAACAGACUUGCCUAUUUACUGUCAUUAAUUACCUGCUGAAUUUCCUUGUUGCCUUGCAAAGCAUUUCCGUGACGGAUGCUUCUCCCUUUCUACAGGCUGCGUAAUGAUCAGACCGGGGCUGUGCCCCAGGUGACUGCGGGCACAGCGGGGACCUAGGGCAUGGAUGGUCCUGGCUCAGAGAUGGGCAAGCUUCAUGCCGAGGAGGUGGGAGCCACAUGAGGCAUCACUGUCCCUGUCCCCAUCCCUGUCCACAUCCCCUAGACACUGCUGAGAGCCGCGGUACUGGCUCCCGACAGUGGUGUGAGGUACGGGUGGGAAAUUGGGUGUAAAAAUGCUAUUUUGAGGGUGGGCUCACCUCCAUCUGUCUGAAAGCAGUGCUCUUUCCCCCAUCGUCUCCAGGUGGGCAAAAAGUGGGGGCUCCAAUGUGUGGGCACCGCUUAUUUCAAUAGUUUCUUGAAGUCAAUGCUUUGAUUUAUUUAAUCAGAGAAUAACCCUGUGUGGCCUGUAAGAAAAACCUGUAAGUUUAGGGAAAGUUGGUGUUUCCCCACCUCGGCUCCUGGUAAGCUGCAGUCACCUCCAGCCAUGAAUAGCAAUGCCACUUCUUCCAUGGGACCCCUCAGAUUGAUGUGUACUGCAUUAUCUUAGCUGGUUAUAAAGUGUAAUUAAUAUUAACAAGCAAAAAGCUUUGCAAAAAAGUGAUCUAUUUUCAUUGCUCGAUGUGCUGCUUGCUUACCUUCUGCCUGUUCCACUGCGAGGAAAGGGGCCAGACCCUGCAGCCAUGCUUGUGGGACUGCAAAGGUGAGUGGUGGAGGGUGCGGGGAGGAGGAGGAGGAGGAGCAGGAGGAGGUCAUCCUAUGGAGGGACACUGAGCAAAACUGGGUCAAAAGAUAAUGAACUAGUUGGUUUGAUUUAUAGGCUUAUGGGGUUGGAGUGGCUGGAUUGCAAAUGCUGCAGAAAAAUAUCCGCUGAUUUUUUAAGAAAAGUUUCCAAUGGAAGCAGGCUGAUUUAUUUUUAAUCACUCUGACAGUUUUGUUUGACUUAGGUUGCAUAAAAUGUUCUUAAAAUCCUGAACUGUUUAGACAAGCUGAAGUCUGACAGCGUCUCCCUCCUGGCCAGGGAGGGAGCUGCUCCUAUUUGCCAUGCUAGGGGGGCGGCUGCCCCCUGCAGCCCUGGGUACGGCCCCUGGGCACACACCACGACCUGUAGGCCAUCGCCCCGGCCAACAGCACGCCAGGCAUCAAGCACCAGGUGCUCUGGAGCCCACGUUCAGCUCCUGCUGGUAUAGCCAGGUGCCCGCACAGCUUGGCAUCCAGGCCAGCAGCACUGCGGGAAGCGGGCGCCAUCGGCUCCUCCCGGCCUCCAUCCGCCUCCUUCACCUGGUGGUGAGGUUACAGCGAUGGGCACAGAGCACGGCCGUGACUGGGGAAUUAUUAUUUAUUAUGCUGCUGCUGUGUCCGGGUGGCUUCAGAGGAGGUGCACACCCCAGUUGGUGCCGGCCUGCAGACAAGGGAAAGGCCCGAGGCAGCAGGAAGGGGAGACCAGAGGCUCAGGGGGAGCCCAGCAGCUGGAGGCCGGGAGCUGCCAGGCCUGCUGGAGGCUGGGGGAGAGGAGGGCAGCCAGGAGGAGGAAAAGGCUCACGGCAGAAGCAGGCCAAGACCUUCAUGGUGGUUACAUGAGACAACUGGGCACCCAGCUCUGGAAUAGAAACCUGCAAAGGAAACCUUCAUGGGGAUGGGGCGCGUGCUGCUCGCAGCUGUGUCCUCGCCUGGCUGCGGCCACUGCUCCCGGGUCUGCCGGGUCUGAGCCAUCCAUCGCCCCCGGGGCUCCUCCAGAAACUUGUCUGAGUGUGUGUUUGCUCUCUGGGCAGUGGAAGGACAAAGUGACCGGGCGGCUAACUGACCGACCAAGAGAAAAAGAAAGAUCGCAUCUUCGGUAAUUAAUAACAUACUGGUAACGUUUUGAGUCCCCUUGGGCAGACUUUUACCACAUUCCACUUCAUACAAGACACAUUUCAAAUGCUCGUUAAUUUACAGAAACUGCAUUUUAUAGAAAAUAUGAUACAGUGAAAUAUAAAAUGCACUAGGAGCAUUUCAAAAAUCUAUAGAGACGAUCUUGCAGCCUAGUAUACCCUCUGAAACAACGUCCACUCGUUACCGCAAGCUCUCUUCUUCUCAUUCUCGCGCUCUCUCGCGUGCACGCUCUCGCUCCCCCCCGCCCCCCCGUUUAACUCUUAGCAUUCAACUUGAGAAUUAAUCAAGAUAUCAAAAAAGCAUGAUUAUCCCCUGGAUAAUCACCUUCCAGUACUGUGCACAUUCUUGGAUUUAAAUGAAAAUAUAUCUAAGCACUUUUACAAUUUUUAGCGAACCCACUGCAAAAUCGUCUGCAGAAUAUAAAACACAGGUAAUCCAAGAUUUCAUAGCACAUUAAUUAAGUGGCUCAUAAUCCAUUAAAUGUGGUUUAUAUUACACAUCCAUGCAGUCUAAAUCAUUUUACAAACAUUAGACAGAAACCCACUAGUCCAAAUCAGUAAAGGAAAAAUGUAAUAAAAAAAGCUAAUAACUAUUUGUUAUUGGUUAAACUGACCCUACAUAUAAACUAGGUAGUAUGCUACCAUUUAUAAUACUGAUGUUGAAUUAUGCCUGGAUGCUGCAAAACCUCUUGCUUGCUUGGCAAUGCUUGAGCAUAUUAACCACAAGAUACUUAACAGGCCCUCGUUGCACUUCUUCUCCAAAAAAAACAUUUACUACAGAUAGCAGCGCCUACCCAUCGAAUAUAAAGGACACACAUUAGCUGAGUUACAUGAUGCUGUUGAGCUUUGGCUACUGAUGCUCCAAGGCAUUAAUGUCAUUCUAGGCUAGCUCCAUACUUACGGAUGGCAAAAGUGCUGAUUGCCGGCUCCGGCCCCUCGCGUGCCCCAGCCCGCAACGGGGCAGUGACGCGCGAGAGGCAACAGCAUUGGCUUCGUGCCGACGGGCACCACCAGAGACGUGGGACAGCACCACGUAACCCAGCCGGUAUUUACACCACUCGUGGGAGCCAAAACACGCCGAUAGCAUAAAAACAAACAAAUGGGCCUUUGGUCAUUUCACGAUUUACUUGUAGGGUUUAGGCAAGGGCUGUUGGAGAGUUCUGUGGCAAUAACCAAAGGCUUUAUCAAUGCUAUAGUUCUAUGCAGCUACAUUGAGUGUGACCAGGUUACAGCAGAGCCCCCUAGUCGGUAUUUUGCAUCUGAUAACACUGAAUUAUAUACAACAUGAUGACUAGUUCACCACCUGCUGAGGCUUAAAGAUGGCUGUUAAGAUUUCCACUCAAAACAUCUCCCCCUCCCACCCCCCAUCCUCUCCACCCCAGAGUGAGUCACCCCCUUAAAAAAAAAAAAAAAGGCAAAAAAGAAACAAUCUCCACAGUUCCUUUUUGUUAACUCCUUCCCAGCUAGAACUGGCUUAGGGUCACAGGGAGUGCUGCCCAGGAUGGUUGUAUGUUUGUUUUCAUCACUCCUGAGAUUGAAGGGAAUCUGAUACAUGCACCAAAAGGCACUUUCAAAUAUAUAUAUAUAUAUUUUAAAAACAGUGCUUCUGUUCUAAGAAAUUCAAGUUAAGACAGAGUGCCUUUCACUCUCUUUAGUCAUAAAGCAGAUAAACGAGCAAUAUCCCAGCUGACAUUAAAAAAAAACAAAAACAACAACAAAAAAACCUGCAGCAGAGACAAGUGUUCAUGCGAGACAGCUCAAUAUUCUAAAAAAAAAAUUGAAAAGAAAAAGGAAAAAAAAAAAGAAACCUCCUAAAUCACCACUAAAAAUAACAA